rnacentral:misc_RNA from 1 species
ACAUUCUGAUGUCUAUGUGCAAUGCUGAAUGUUGUCUGGUCUGUCAAUGGUUGAUCUAACAGAACAUCAUGCACAUUGCACGCUUUUGAUUGGCAGGGUUCCUGACCAUUGGUGUACCCACAGUUUGCCGUAAGCAGCAGCAGUAUGUCUUGACAACGCUGGACUCGCUAGUCAGUGGUCUCAGUCGCGGACAGAGACAGGAAGUCGUCAUUGUCGUAUACCUAGCCGACCAAAAUGAGACUUGUCGGCGAUCCACUGAGACUGAUGUACGGCAGAAGUAUCCCAGUCUUGUUCAGUCGUGUCUGAUUCGGUUCCUGCAUCCUCCCGCCAUUUCCCGGUUUUAUCCCGCGUUGUCGAGACAAUCUGGAACAAACAGUGAAAAGAAAGCAAGAUGGCGGUCCAAACAAAACUUAGAUUUCAGCUACCUUCUGAUUCAGUGUCAGAAUUUAUCGACUUACUACCUCCAGUUGGAGGACGAUGUUAUAGCAGUCAGCUGGUUUUAUAGAAGUAUCAAAGAAACAAUAAAAAUGACAGCGAGCAAUUGGGUCUGUAUAGAAUUCAUAGAAUUGGGAUUCAUUGGGAAGCUUUUUCAUUCAAGUGAUUUGGUGCCUUUGGCUACAAUGAUUGUUGACUGGUACCAACAUACCCCAGCUGACGAUACGUACAUCGAAUACUACAAGAAACGUCAACAGAAAUCUAGAAUACUUGUCACACCUACAUUAUUUCAACACAUCGGUUGGCAUUCUUCUCUAGAUGGCAGACUCCAGAAAUUAAAGGAUCCGUAUUUUGAAAGUGAUUUAGAAAAUAAAUUAUUUGUGAACAAUAAUCCUCCCGCUAAUAUAUCCACUACGAUGACCAUAGAUUUCCAGCAUCCACCACGUGACUGCUACGAGGGAUCACGUGGAUAUUUUUUAACGUCAGAACCUGUUAAAGACGGAAACGUGUUUAGAGUAUUGUUUCUGUCUUUGCAGAACCUCUCUAGAAUAUUUGUCCAAACAGGCAUAUCUGCCGGUAGAGGGAAUAUACUAGAAGAGGGCGUGUUAGAGUUGGGCAAAAAUAUAGACUGUAGAAACCAGAGUUUCUUCAAUGUUUACAGAUUUCACAAGGGAAUGGUUGAUGUCAGAAUAGACCAAAAGGAUGUUCGAUGUAUUGUAAUCCGGGUGACCGCGGACCAGAAAUCCGUCCUCAUGAUCAAAGAAAUAUCAGUCUUUCAAAAAUGAGCCAUUGUGGAUUUUAAUUUAAUCAACCUUAUUUGUGUAUUGGGAUGUCUUCGUGCUUCGAUACCAAUAAACGUGAAUGUCAAA